AGUAGUUUGAUCAGUGGCUCGAGGAGACGCUGGCGGCGUGCUUCAUACAUGCAAGUCGAACGAGAAGCUCUCUUCGGAGAGUGGAAAGUGGCGGACGGGUGAGUAAUAUGUAGAGAAUCUGCCCUUGAGCGGGGGACAACAGAGGGAAACUUCUGCUAAUACCCCAUAUGAGCUUGGCUGAAAUGCCAAUCUUGAAAACUCCGGUGCUCAAGGAUGAGUCUGCAUCUGAUUAGCUUGUUGGCGGUGUAAUGGACCACCAAGGCGACGAUCAGUAGCUGGUUUGAGAGGAUGAUCAGCCACAAUGGGACUGAGACACGGCCCAUACUCC
rnacentral:rRNA from 1 species